rnacentral:rRNA from 1 species
CCUACGGGAGGCAGCAGUGGGGAAUAUUGGACAAUGGGGGCAACCCUGAUCCAGCCAUGCCGCGUGUGUGAAGAAGGCCCUCGGGUUGUAAAGCACUUUCAGUGAGGAAGAACGCCUGGUGGUUAAUACCCAUCAGGAAAGACAUCACUCACAGAAGAAGCACCGUCUAACUCCGUGCCAGCAGCCGCGGUAAUACGGAGGGUGCGAGCGUUAAUCGGAAUUACUGGGCGUAAAGCGCGCGUAGGUGGCUUGAUAAGCCGGUUGUGAAAGCCCCGGGCUCAACCUGGGAACGGCAUCCGGAACUGUCAAGCUAGAGUGCAGGAGAGGAAGGUAGAAUUCCCGGUGUAGCGGUGAAAUGCGUAGAGAUCGGGAGGAAUACCAGUGGCGAAGGCGGCCUUCUGGACUGACACUGACGCUGAGGUGCGAAAGCGUGGGUAGCAAACAGGAUUAGAUACCCCAGUAGUC